UACGAAGGGGGCUAGCGUUGCUCGGAAUCACUGGGCGUAAAGCGCACGUAGGUGGGUCGUUAAGUCAGGGGUGAAAUCCUGGAGCUCAACUCCGGAACUGCCAUUGAAACUGUUUAGCUUGAGGACGAGAGAGGUGAGUGGAAUUCCCAGUGUAGAGGUGAAAUUCGUAGAUAUUGGGAAGAACACCGGUGGCGAAGGCGGCUCACUGGCUCGUAUCUGACGCUCAGGCGCGACAGCGUGGGGAUCAAACAGG
rnacentral:rRNA from 1 species